rnacentral:rRNA from 1 species
AACGAACGCUGGCGGCAGGCCUAACACAUGCAAGUCGAGCGAAGCCUUCGGGCUUAGCGGCGGACGGGUGAGUAACGCGUGGGAACGUGCCCUUUGGUACGGAAUAGCCCCGGGAAACUGGGAGUAAUACCGUAUGUGGUCAAGAGACAAAAGAUUUAUCGCCAAAGGAUCGGCCCGCGUUGGAUUAGGUAGUUGGUGGUGUAAUGGCCUACCAAGCCGACGAUCUAUAGCUGGUUUGAGAGGAUGAUCAGCCACACUGGGUCUGAGACACGGCCCAGACUCCUACGGGAGGCAGCAGUGGGGAAUCUUAGACAAUGGGGGAAACCAUGAUCUAGCCAUGCCGCGUGAGCGAUGAAGGCCUUAGGGUUGUAAAGCUCUUUCAGUGGGGAAGAUAAUGACGGUACCCACAGAAGAAGCCCCGGCUAACUCCGUGCCAGCCGCCGCCGUAAGAC